UACAGAGGUCCCGAGCGUUGUUCGGAUUCACUGGGCGUAAAGGGUGCGUAGGUGGUGGGAUAAGUCGGAUGUGAAAUCUCGGAGCUUAACUCCGAAACUGCAUUGGAAACUGUCCUGCUAGAGGGUUGGAGGGGGGGGACUGGAAUACUUGGUGUAGCAGUGAAAUGCGUAGAUAUCAAGUGGAACACCGGUGGCGAAGGCGAGUCCCUGGACAACACCUGACACUGAGGCACGAAAGCUAGGGGAGCAAACAGG
rnacentral:rRNA from 1 species